GCCCUUAUCGUCUAGAGGUUUAGGACGCCAGGUUCUCAUCCUGGUAACCCGGGUUCGAAUCCCGGUGAGGGCGCCA
rnacentral:tRNA from 1 species